rnacentral:rRNA from 1 species
CCCUUAGAUGUUCUGGGCCGCACGCGCGCUACACUGAUGAAUUCAACGAGCUCCUAACCUAGGCCGAAGGAUCCGGGUAAUCUUUGAAAUUUCAUCGUGAUGGGGAUAGAUUAUUGCAAUUAUUAAUCUUCAACGAGGAAUUCCUAGUAAGCGCGAGUCAUCAGCUCGCGUUGAUUACGUCCCUGCCCUUUGUACACACCGCCCGUCGCUCCUACCGAUUGAAUGGUCCGGUGAAAUGUUCGGACCGCGACAAGGCGGACGGUUCGCUGUCAGCUUUGCUGCGGGAAGUUCAUUAAACCUUAUCAUUUAGAGGAAGGAGAAGUCGUAACA